rnacentral:rRNA from 1 species
UUGCGCUCCUUGGUAUUCCGAGGAGCAUGCCUGUUUGAGUGUCAUGAAACCCUCAAACCCAAGUUUUGGAUUUCGGUCCAUGCUUGAGUUUGGAUUUGGAUGUUUGCCGGUGAUGAACCGACUCAUCUUAAAAGUAUUAGCUGGAUCUGUCUAUAUGACUGGUUUGACUUGGCAUAAUAAGUAUUUUGCUGAGGACAUCUUCGGAUGGCCAGGACCUAGACUACUGUCUGCUAACUAAACCAUCACUUUAAGUGCAUCCUUGGAUGUUACUCAUUGUGUAACUUUGACAUCUGGCCUCAAAUCAGGUAGGACUACCCGCUGAACUUAAGCAUAUCAAUAAGCGGAGGAAAAGAAACUAACAAGGAUUCCCCUAGUAACGGCGAGUGAAGCGGGAAGAGCUCAAAUUUGAAAUCUGGUGGCCUCAGGUCAUCCGAGUUGUAAUCUAUAGAAGUGUUUUCCGUGCUGGCUCAUGUACAAGUCCCUUGGAACAGGGCGUCAUAGAGGGUGAGAAUCCCGUCCUUGACAUGAACUACCAGUGCUCUGUGAUACAUUUUCAACGAGUCGAGUUGUUUGGGAAUGCAGCUCAAAAUGGGUGGUAAAUUCCAUCUAAAGCUAAAUAUUGGCGAGAGACCGAUAGCGAACAAGUACCGUGAGGGAAAGAUGAAAAGCACUUUGGAAAGAGAGUUAAACAGUAUGUGAAAUUGUUGAAAGGGAAACGAUUGAAGUCAGUCGUGCUCUUUGGAUUCAGCCGGUUCUGCCGGUGUACUUCCUUUGAGUGGGGUCAACAUCAGUUUUGAUCGCUGGAUAAAGGCGGGAGGAAUGUAGUACCCUCGGGUAAACUUAUAGCCUCUUGUCACAUACAGUGGUUGGGACUGAGGAACGCAGCAUGCCUUUAAGGCCGGGAUUCGUCCACGUACAUGC